rnacentral:rRNA from 1 species
AUUGAACGCUAGCGGGAUGCCUUACACAUGCAAGUCGAACGGAGUGGCGAACGGGUGAGUAAUGUAUCGGAACGUGCCUAGUAGCGGGGGAUAACUACGCGAAAGCGUCGCUAAUACCGCAUACUAUCGGAGCGGCCGAGAUCGGAUUAGCUAGUUGGUGGGGUAACGGCUUACCAAGGCGACGAUCCGUAGCUGGUUUGAGAGGACGACCAGCCACACUGGGACUGAGACACGGCCCAGACUCCUACGGGAGGCAGCAGUGGGGAAUAUUGGACAAUGGGGGAAAGCCUGAUCCAGCCAUGCCGCGUGUGUGAAGAAGGCCUUCGGGUUGUAAAGCACUUUAAGCAGGGAGGCGGUACCUACAGAAUAAGCACCGGCUAACUUCGUGCCAGCAGCCGCGGUAAUAC